rnacentral:lncRNA from 1 species
CAGAAGGUGAAUAUUGUCAAGGCAGCUCAGUGAACAAACCUUGAACUAUAGCAACACCAUGAAUUUUAUGUCCCUGUGAUGAGGUAAGUUCAAUUUGCAUUUACAAAUAACACAUUUCACUUUUCACUGCACAAAGUAAUCUUUUGUGAAAAUUAUGUCUGUAUCUCUGUCGUUUCUAUCUCUAUUCCUAAUCACCCCUUCAGUCGGAAAAGAAAGGAAAAGUAUAUAAUUAGGUUUAGGAGGCAUUUCUCAGAAAUAGCUAUCAAAGACAUGUUAUACCUUCUUAGCAACAUUUGUAGUACUCAUUGCUUAGUAUUUCAACAAACUUUUUCCUGUUUCAUCUUUUAACCUUUCCACUUUCUCAAGUUCUCAAGGCCAAGGCCACUGUCCCUGCCUCUAUAUUUAAUGUGGAUGCAUUUAUCCAUUGCCUUUGCCAAUCAAGAGAUACCUUUCUUUCCAAACAACAUCCUGUAUUUGACUGUUUAUAUUUAGCUUCAGAGAUAAAGAAUACCAUCUAAAUUAGAUGGCCAUAAGGAUUAAAAAGUAAGAUGAUGAAUGAACAAGUUUCAUUCCUUACAAGAUACAGUAAGAGCAUCAGCAAGAAUGAGGAACUUAGGUGCCUGGUGGCCCAGAAGAGACUGUGGCAGGUGGAAUAGAUACUAGGAGAAUAGGACACAAAAGUAUAAGCAAUGCAGUCCUACUGUAUACCACAGGGAACUAUAUCCAAUCUCCUGUGAUAGAAUAUGAUGGAAAAUAAUAUGAGAAAAGAACAUGUGUGUGUGUGUGUGUGUGUGUGUGUGUGUGUGUGUAUACACUAUGGGUCACUUUGAUGUACAGAAGAAAUUGACACAACAUUGUAAAUCAACUACACUUUAAUAAAAAAAUUAAAAAGAUAAUGGGAUAUAAAUUAAGGUAGAAAUAACAUAGCCAAAUAUUUCUUUCAUUAAGUGAAACGAUGUUCUACACAGAAAUCCCCACCCCCACUUCAUGAACACUGCAUGAAUAGAAUGCUUCAAUCAAAAGUAGUAUUUACCAGAAAUUGGCACACUAGGAAAUGAUAUAUGAUUAUUAUAGUGGAACAUAUAUGUCAUUGGUAAAAGGCAAAAGUAAUGGCCUUGCAAAAUUAAUGUCCUUGCAAAAGUAAUGGGAAAAUUUGAAUUGAUAGGUAAGCAGUUUGGGGGAUAAUUUGAAUUGAUAAGUAAGCAGUUUUCUUUUUAAUUAUAUCACUUAUAUCUCAAAUCUAAUAUAUGGCACAAAUGAAACUUUCCACAGAAAAGAAACUCAUGGACUUGGAGAACAGACUUGUGGUUGCCAAGGGGGAGUGAGAGGGAGUGGGAUGUUUUAAUAAAUUUGAACUAAUAUUUUUACAGAAAAAAACUAUUGUGCCCUUUCAAACUGUCACGUCAUAAAUCAUGUCAUGUUAGAACAUCAACUUUGUGAGAAUUGCAGCACAUUUACAGCCACAAAGAUUAAAUUAUGUCCUUUACAAACUUUAGUUAUUAUUUCAAUGUUCUGAACAGUAAUUUCCAUAUAUAACAAAAAUGUUUACAUGUUAGUAAUAGGUAAGAAAGAUAAAUGCUGAAUUUAAGUUUAUGAAAUAAAUUUGGUACUUGCUAUUGCUUGGAAAUAUUAAAAUGUAAACCUCUAUAUUUAGUGUUGUAAAAACCACAGUUCAGACUGCCCUUGGACGAUAAAACUGUAGCCCACCUAAGCCUUGGGGCAGAACCUCCUUUCCUGCCUGCUUUCAUCUCUCAGA